UUGACUAUGAAAUGAGAAUCGUUAUUAUUAUCGCAUCUGAUCGCGAGAUCAGCUGAUCUUCUGAAAGACCAUUGGUUUGGACUUUCGGAUUAUCUCCUCAUCAGGCUAAUCACGGUUAUUUGACCCGGCUCUUGCCGGGUCUUUUUUUG
rnacentral:sRNA from 1 species